rfam:Streptomyces alboflavus strain MDJK44, complete genome.
CUUGAGGGAGCCGAGCCACAACGGCCGGUCGGCGGCGCGCUCUUGACCGUACGUGGCGAGCAGCGCCUGCGCCUC